AACAAGGCGUACCUGCGGACCUGCGGAAGGAUCAUUAACAAGAUCGAACCAAAACAAAAUAUGGACGAUCAAAUCCAUAUCCACCUUGUGUGCACUUAUUGACCGUUCGCUUUGGCAGGAGUUGUCUUGGAUCCCGGCCCCGACCCUUCUAAUUUGGAGGGGGAGAGGGAGGGAUCGAAGCGCGAGGGGGGAGGGAAACCCUCCCACACCUCGGCCUGCCAGAGUUUUUCAAGAUCCACA
rnacentral:misc_RNA from 1 species